UGUGCAUUGCUUACUCCUUUCUCUUUGCACAGUAUUCUACCUAUGCCUGUAUUCCAGUAUUUUUCAAACUGUCAUAACUGUAUGCUUACAUUUCUAUCUCCUGUGAUAGGAUAAAAGCUUCUCAAGAUGAGGUUGUUUUCUCAAGCUCAGGUUCUCAAAGUUUCAUUUCCUCUGUAGUUAGUCUCAAAACAACCACAAUGUAUUUGGUAUUUAGUACAGUUUUGGAAAAGAAGUUUAUCCCACAAAAUAUCAAGUGAUCUUGAACUAAAAGUCCAGACUAUGUUCUUCCAUGUGACAUCAAGUAAACAGCUUCUAAUGAUUUCUUGCUAAGGGCUAGAAUAUCCAUCAGCAGGUUGCCCUGAAGAAACCACCUUUCCAGCUGCAUUGAGCCAGAACUGCACCAACUUCUCUAACCUGUGAGAGGAGACACCUCUGCAGUCCUGAACGCUGUACAAAUCACGCUAAUAAUCACUAAGAAGUCUUCAAGAACAGAGACUCUACUGAAUUCAUAUUGAGACUUGCCGUCACUAUCAGAACAAUGCUAUAUAUGACAGAGACCCCUGGUUGCUUUUGAUAAAUGAAAUCAGUGAACGGGAAAAAGGUAAGCAACAUAGUGACAGAGUCCAAAUAGUGGAAUCCCAAUUCUAGGUACUACAUGCAGAGUAGACUUUUGGUCUCAUUUUUACAUGAUUCUAGAAAGUAAGAUUUUAGUCCAGUAGACAGUAUACUUUAUUAAGCACUAAAAUCUGUAUGACAAAAAAUAACAGAGAGCAUAUAUAUGAUUUUUAACUAUGUCUAGCUGUGCAUUUUAAGGAUUUGUACCAUGUGUGUGACAUUUCUAAUUUUAUAAAACCUUUUGACAUGUGAUUUAAUGUUCUGUAAAGGAAAACACUGAAUGAAUAAGAGGCUGUGUUCUUCCAG